UUUUCUCUUCCCAGUUCUCUCUUCUAACUCACUAUUCAGCCAAUGAUACAGGACCACCACAGAACCGGAGUCCAGAGACCAUCAACUAAGAAACUGUAACAGCUAAAAGUUUUUUCUGUGUCACCAGCAUCGUGUCAAACAGAAAGUUCCCAGCCACAGCCAAGAGGGAUACAUGUCUCCAGAGCAAAUGGAUGACAGCAUCCCACAACGCCUGUCUACCUCGGAAGACUCCCCUUCUCCAUUCCCCCAAGAGCCAACCGACGUCCAGAAGUCAGCUGGAAGCAGUUUUUGAGAGGAACAACACCCCUAUUCCCAUCUACCUGCUUUAUAUAUAUAUAUAUUAAGCAAAAGUCUGGGAUGUAAGGAUUAUGUCCUUAAUUAUGUCACCAGCCUGCGACGGCAUCCCAGCCUAAAAAGCAGGUGUGCCCUCUGUGUGUUCUCUUUUCCACAGUCUCUCCUUCUGUACCCCCCACUCCGCGUGGUCCCCCUCUCUCUCCCUCUCUUUCUCUUUCUCUCUCCCAAUAAAGCACUAGAAAGGUAA